rnacentral:rRNA from 1 species
CCUACGGGAGGCAGCAGUGGGGAAUCUUGCGCAAUGGGCGAAAGCCUGACGCAGCCAUGCCGCGUGAAUGAUGAAGGUCUUAGGAUUGUAAAAUUCUUUCACCGGGGACGAUAAUGACGGUACCCGGAGAAGAAGCCCCGGCUAACUUCGUGCCAGCAGCCGCGGUAAUGCGAAGGGGGCUAGCGUUGCUCGGAAUUACUGGGCGUAAAGGGAGCGUAGGCGGAUAGUUUAGUCAGAGGUGAAAGCCCAGGGCUCAACCUUGGAAUUGCCUUUGAUACUGGCUAUCUUGAGUAUGGGAGAGGUAUGCGGAACUCCGAGUGUAGAGGUGAAAUUCGUAGAUAUUCGGAAGAACACCAGUGGCGAAGGCGGCAUACUGGCCCAUUACUGACGCUGAGGCUCGAAAGCGUGGGGAGCAAACAGGAUUAGAUACCCUGGUAGUCCACGCUGUAAACGAUGAGUGCUAGUUGUCGGCAUGCAUGCAUGUCGGUGACGCAGCACGCAUAAGACGACUCCGCCGUCGGGGAGGUACGGUCGGUCGAAGAAGUUAAACUUAACGUAAAGAAGUUAGAGGCGNGAGAGNGCGACGGACGACGACGAGGGAGGAGG